UACAGAGGUCUCAAGCGUUGUUCGGAAUGACUGGGCGUAAAGGGUGCGUAGGCGGUAGUACAAGUUAGAAGUGAAAUACCCAGGGCUUAACUCGGGUGCUGCUUCUAAAACUGUACGACUUGAGUGCAGUAGAGGUUAGUGGAAUUCCUAGUGUAGCGGUGAAAUGCGUAGAUAUUAGGAGGAACACCAGUGGCGAAGGCGGCUUACUGGACAGUGACUGACACUGAGGCUCGAAAGCGUGGGGAGCAAACAGG
rnacentral:rRNA from 1 species